UGGCAGCUAUACACCAAGUUUCCAGAAGAUGGUCACUCAAAAAUGCAAGACUCAUUAGCUGAGCAGAGGUCACAGUAGCUCUGACACAUGACCACGUGGGGGGGGCGUGGCCUGGGGAGGAGCCAUAGGUGUGAGGGGAGCAUGUGAAGCAGAAGCGGUGUUGGGCAAGGACACCUGGCCCGUCCCCGGACAGGGACACAGGUCCUGCAAAGAAGAACCCGCCACCUGCAGAUGUAAAGGUGUAACCACGGCCGACACCUAACAGACUCAAUAGUUUGGGUGCAAGACCAAAUGAAUCCUCAUACAAGACAUGUACGUUUCCACAAAUGGGAUCAUAUUUCGUAUGCUGCUUUGUAAAGACGUUUAUGUGAUUCUGAAUACCACUCUCAGCUCAGAAGAACGGAAUCAGCUGUGGCAAGCAGCUCAAAAAGAAGCUGAUCACAGACAUAAGGUAAACACUGCUGAUAAUGACCCUGGGCCUAUAGCUGUGCGAGAGCAGGACAAGCAUACUAACUAUAACAAACUUUUAAAACAGGUCCAGGAGGCUAAUAAAAACCCAGCUGUGUUCCUAAAUUGGCUUUCUAACCCUCAUGCCCCACGAGCAGUUCCAGCUUCAUGCACUGCGUUGGGCCGCCUCCCAGGUCCUCCCUCCCCCGUGCGCCGUCGUUGUCGCCGCCCCUGCCACCUUACGCGUUUCCGGGGGCAGUCCCAGCCCACCCCUGCACGCUACGUCCCAGCACUUGCCCCACCCCCACGCUGGGCAUGCUCUGCCAGUAUGCCGAGAAACAGCAGCUCAGUGGCUCCGCUCAGGCAUGCUCUUUUUACAAUUUGGCUCCGCUCAAGAGAUGCUAUUUUUUUAUUACAAUUCUCAAACCAUUUAAUCAAGGUUAUUGGCCACUUUAAUCAAGGUUAUUGGCUGAUAAUUUUACCAGCCUUGUUUAUCAAUCAAAGCCUUCACCAAUCUCCUGUUUAACAACUAAGGUUAUAAAUUCCUUUUUGCUGGGAACCACUAGCUCUAUUUCAAGACAAGGGUUUUCUUCAAAGUUUUAUUUUAUUUGUCUUGGUUCAUACUACUGCAAAUAACAACCUUAAAAGUAAAUGUGUUCAACCUGGCACCAGCGUCUACCUGGGCAUCAACCUUCAUCCCAUCGACUCCCCUAAGCUCCAGUACAGCGCCCUCUGCCAGCAGGAAGUAGUUAAAGAGAGAAAUCUUCACCCCUUUUCAUAAUAAUAAUCAUAAGACAGGAUAUGAAAGGGUUUGGGCCCAGAUAGGACACUGUAGCCAGGAAAGCCUCAACUGGAAGCAGGACGCCCCAAUCUCCCCUGCCCCUAGAAAGUUACCUGUGACGCCAUCUUCCCGCCCCUGGAAAUUUACAUAUGGUGCCAAACCUAGGACCAAUGGGCUACCUGUGCAUCCCUAAUGCCCACCUUAGGUUCCACCGCAAACUGAGGCUAUUUACAUGCCCCCCAUGCCACGUGUCCACCGGAGAGAUCGCCGGACGCCAGCGGUGGGGGUGCUGGUCAUCUCUCUCCGUGUUCUCAGAAUAAAGGCCGCUUUUUAUUUUA